CGUGGAGAUCAGAUCUCCCCAUCCUUCCCAAUUUCUCACGCAACGCCGCCACCGUCUCUCCACCGCUGCCUCCCCACACGAUGUCGCCUGACCCGCGCCGCCACCAUCCCGCUGCCUCGGGCGCCUCCUCAGCGAUUGAUGCGGAGCCGUCUGGUAGAGAGGGCCAUGGCAAAACCAUAGGACCCUGCAUCUGACGCCGCCGCCCGCCACCAACGGCGCGCGCCGACCGUCCCAACGCCGCGUUGUCCGUCCCUAACACGCCGCCCUGUCUCUACGGCGCCUGUUCCCCACGCCGCCACACGCCGCCGCCCUGCCCAACUGGAGGGCCCUGUAGACGAGGAACUCCACGACUCCGUUCAUCCACUUCGCUCCCUGCCUCCAUGCCGCCGCCCUGCAAAACGCGACCGCGAAGACCCUGUCGGCCAGCGGCCAGGACGUCGCCGCCAAACCGCUCCUCGCAGGGACGCAGCAUCCUGCACGUACAAGAAUGACGAGGUUCAGGAUUCACGGGGGCGCCCACGCCGCCUAGGACGAAUUCCAGGUUUACACUGCACAAUUUUGUCUCCCCGCUGGUUGUUUGUUUGAACGGAGCACGACUGUUCUUUGUACGAAUGACGCUGCGGAAGCUUAGUAUGCACAUCCAUAUGUUUAUAUUUAUUUUGAAUUGUAGUUAAUUAGAUAUUUAGAUUAUUUUUUGCCCUUAUAUCUUAUACGGAUGAUAGUUCAGAAAUAGAAUUGCUCACCUUUGUUCUUAUACUGAUGAUAGUUCAUUUCCAACAAUCAGAAAGGAGAAAACUGAAAACGGAAAUUGCAGGUUGGCAUGCACAUCCCUAUGUGUAAUUGUGUAUGGUUUAUAGUUAAAAUGCAGUCCAAAGUAAUAUUUAGAUUAUUUAGAUAACCAUGGAAUCACAACCUUUUGUGAUAAGUACAUGUACUGCAUGGAUUGUUUUCUAUCAACAGAUGCUUGUACCAUCUCUUGCUGUGACAUUUUUUUUUGUAGAAGCACUAUUUAUUUAUCCACGUUGAUGGCAACACGAUUCCAAGGACAAUCUGAUUACGAGGCGAUCCAUAGUUACAGAACAAUUGAUUCCUUAAUGCUUUUGGUAUGAUGGUUUGUGGAUUAAAAAGAAUAAAGUGUACCUUGUGUAUGAUUUUAGGAUGCAAUGGAUCAUACGAACCGGUUUGCAAUAAUGAUAAUAAUUUGAAAGGAGGGCAUGAAUUUAUGGUGCAAGUAUUUAAUUUAUUGCUAAAACUUUUCUUUAUGCAAAGGGAAAGGGGCAUGACGUUCCUAUUUUCCUUAAAUGAUAGUUUUCUUGCUACUUGCAGAUAUCAACUCUUUGAUCUCUUCUUGACUGCGAUUUACUCUUGUUACUUGGUUUUCGCUAAUUAAUCACUGGGACGAUAGUAAGCAAAAACAAUUUGUUUGUUCUGUUGUUUUUUCUUUAUGCAAGUGGUUAAAUUUUGGAUACAUUGUAACCAUUGUCUUGCUCCCAUGAGUACGGAAAGAACCUACGAAUGGUCAUGAUUGUUGGUGACACCUUGGGUUGCACAUUGGUCUCACCAUACAGUCACCUAUUCUUCUACAUCAACCAUCCAAAUGUUGUUUUUGGCCUAGAUGAUCUGCACAAAGAAAUGAGCAUGGCAACCACCAUCCUCCGGUAGUCUUGGUGUGCAUAUCCAUAGUUUGAUGAUAGUACAUUGAAUUUUUCUCUCAUUCUCAUAUAGUCACAUUGAAGGUUGAUAUUUGGAGAAUAACAAAGAUGUGAUCAGUUUGGAUGUCUUAGCUUCCCAACCUUUUCGAGCUGGCGUUUGGUGGUGGUACCCUUAUGCACGCAUAUAAUGUGUGUUUCAAUUUUUAAUUUGUGAUAAUUGUAUUGUACCUGAUUGCUUGUUCUGUGAUUAAAAAUUUCCAUCCACAGCCAUCGAAGAAUGAUGGGUCAGCCAGUUGCCAGCAGCUGCUGGUGCCGAGCCGAAGACGUGAGCAUUUCGUCUGCGGUUGGCUGAUCACCACAGGGUUGCAUAGAGGGUAAUCAAUUUUUAUGUGGAGUGUAGCAUGCUUUUGACUCUAGAAAUGUACUGGUGUCCUCUGAGAAUCAUGCUUGAUAUGUACAAGCAGUGUUAUGUAUCCGUGAUUGAAGGUUGGCAUGCAUGAAUAAAUGCUACUUUGAAUCAGGUAAAAAGUCUUUUAUACCAGUUAUUAUUACAAUGGAAGUGACGAGGGAUUCUUUACUACCAGUUAUUCCAAACAGAGGAAGCAAAAGAAAAGCCAUGUCAUCCUCCAAACGCACUCCAUUUCAGUUAGUUUUGUCGCUGCCACUAAAUCAAUUCGAAUAUUUAAAUACAUUGUUUCCGUCAAAAUAGACUCCUUAUGGGGGUGCAUGCUGAAGUAUAGUAUUUUAAUGAAAUAUUAUUACUGCUUAUCAAUUUAAGAGUUCCAUGUGAGAUGCAAUAUUAAUACUGCAGUAGCAUAGAACCAUGAGAAUUCUGCAUCAGGUUAACAUCAUAUGCUGGUACUGGUUUGGUCACAACCUAUUUUCCAAGCAUUUUUUUAUUUGAAUUUUUCUCAAAGUUUGGUUUAUAAAACCUGGGUCAAGCAUGUUUUGUUGAGUUCUCAUUGCUUUCAUUUGUAAUCAGGAUACAGGGUUAACUUCUUACCAUUUUAGACUGACUCACAUGUUGUUGCUUGAUAAAGGUGUUGUCCUGAGCGACUUGAUUCACUGCGGCGUAGCCGUUGUGCAUGUGUAGAUCACGGUUGAUUGCCUGCUAGCGUGCAGAGUGUAUCAUGGUUUCAAUUUUCAAAAUAUUUUACAUAAUAUACAUGUAAAUUUUCAGAGCAGAAGCUCACUCUCUCUACUUCUUUCAGCAAUAUCACAAUAUUUUAUCAGACACGUGGGGCUUAUUUCUGUUGAGUUCCAUCUCCGUGUGAUCUUAGCUGGCCGGUUGGGGCAAGAAUCAGUCAUUAAUGCUCUUGUUCAUGUAUGUUUGCAUCAUCGGACAGCAGUCAUUGCAUAUAUUAACUAUGUUAUGUACUGCAAGGCAUGCGUCUUGUAAUGUGAAUAUUUUUGCAUUUUAUAUUGAGAACUAAACUUCCUUGAGAAUAUUUCUGACCAAUUCUCUUUUUUAUAUGCUUGUUGUACUCUGAAUAUCUAUGAUAUAUCAUGAUUUGGUUACAACAAUGGAAUGACUUCAUUAUGUUGUUAUAGUCUAAUAGAUGUGUUUUUCUGUUUCAGUUGCAUUAUGCUGCCAACGUAUUGAAUGAGUGAGAAGAGACAGGUCCUUUCCUAUUUAACCUUACUUUUCUGUUUACAUGAACAUAUUGGUUGAUGUGUUCAACUCAAAUGGAUCAACCAUGGAUAUGAUCAUAUGCAUCGAGGAGCCAAAACAUCAAUCCCCUCUUGGGUUGUAUUUCUUUCACUAAAUAUUUUGGGUUGUAUAUGUUUUGCUGAUGGUGAUGUAGAGUAGGGAAUAACGAGACAAGGAUGCUUUAGGGACGCAACAAGCACUACCUUAAGGCUGGUGUUUUUCUUUCCAGAGAAAUGAGCACAUACACUAGCUACUUAUAUUUUGUACGUAUGUUAUUCUGAAGAGGAUACCUGAGGUUGCAUCUUUCAAUUU